AACGAACGCUGGCGGCAUGCCUAACACAUGCAAGUCGAACGAGACCUUCGGGUCUAGUUGCGCACGUGUGCGUAACGCGUGGGAACCUGCCCUUAGGUUCGGAAUAACUCCCCGAAAGGGGUGCUAAUACCGGAUAAUGUCUUCGGGCCAAAGAUUUAUCGCUUUUGGAUGGGCCCGCGUUGGAUUAGCUAGUUGGUAGGGUAAAAGCCUACCAAGGCGACGAUCCAUAGCUGGUCUGAGAGGAUGAUCAGCCACACUGGGACUGAGACACGGCCCAGACUCCUACGGGAGGCAGCAGUGGGGAAUAUUGGACAAUGGGCGAAAGCCUGACACAGCAAUGCCGCGUGAGUGAUGAAGGCCUUAGGGUUGUAAAGCUCUUUUACCCGGGAUGAUAAUGACAGUACCGGGAGAAUAAGCUCCGGCUAACUCCGUG
rnacentral:rRNA from 1 species